rnacentral:rRNA from 1 species
CCUAAUACAUGACAAGUCGAACGCACUCUCGUUUAGAUUGAAGGAGCUUGCUCCUGAUUGAUAACAUUGAGUGAGUGGCGGACGGGUGAGUAACACGUGGUAACCUGCCUAAGUGGGGGAUAACAUUUGGAAACAGAUGCUAAUACCGCAUAAAACCUAACACCGCAUGGUGUAGGGUUGAAAGAUGGUUUCGGCUAUCACUUUAGGAUGGACCCGCGGUGCAUUAGUUAGUUGGUGAGGUAAAGGCUCACCAAGACCGUGAUGCAUAGCCGACCUGAGAGGUAAUCGGCCACACUGGGACUGAGACACGGCCCAGACUCCUACGGGAGGCAGCAGUAGGGAAUCUUCCACAAUGGACGAAAGUCUGAUGGAGCAACGCCGCGUGAGUGAAGAAGGUUUUCGGAUCGUAAAACUCUGUUGUUGGAGAAGAAUGUAUCUGAUAGUAACUGAUCAGGUAGUGACGGUAUCCAACCAGAAAGCCACGGCUAACUACGUG